rnacentral:rRNA from 1 species
CAACCUGCCGAUGACUCGGGGAUAGCCUUUCGAAAGAAAGAUUAAUACCCGAUGGCAUAGUUCUUCCGCAUGGUGGAACUAUUAAAGAAUUUCGGUCAUCGAUGGGGAUGCGUUCCAUUAGGUUGUUGGCGGGGUAACGGCCCACCAAGCCUUCGAUGGAUAGGGGUUCUGAGAGGAAGGUCCCCCACAUUGGAACUGAGACACGGUCCAAACUCCUACGGGAGGCAGCAGUGAGGAAUAUUGGUCAAUGGACGAGAGUCUGAACCAGCCAAGUAGCGUGAAGGAUGACUGCCCUAUGGGUUGCAAACUUCUUUUAUACGGGAAUAAAGUGAGGCACGUGUGCCUUUUUGUAUGUACCGUAUGAAUAAGGAUCGGCUGACUCCGUGCCAGCAGCCGCGGUAAUACGGAGGAUCCGAGCGUUAUCCGGAUUUAUUGGGUUUAAAGGGAGCGUAGGCGGACGCUUAGGUCAGUUGUGAAAGUUUGCGGCUCAACCGUAAAAUUGCAGUUGAUACUGGGUGUCUUGAGUACAGUAGAGGCAGGCGGGAUUCGUGGUGUAGCGGUGAAAUGCUUAGAUAUCACGAAGAACUCCGAUUG